UGACAGGUAUCACGUGGAAUAAACCAACGAGACAAGGCUAAACUUUUUGUAAAUGUUUGCAAAUAAAUAUUAAGUACACACUUCUUUUUUUAAUAUUAUGCUUCAUACGUUACUAUUCCAAAUCCUGGAUCCACCUCUGUUACUAUCCUAGUUUCGGUCGACAAAGUUACCUGACACCUAUUGCUGUUGGGAGCUGACAGGUAUAACGUGGAAUAAACCAACUAGACAAGGCUAAACCUUUUGUAAAUGUUUGCAAAUAAAUAUUAAGUACACACUUCUUUUUUUAAUAUUAUGCUUCAUACGUUACUAUUACAAAUCCUGGAUCCGCCACUGUUACUAUCCUAGUUUCGGUCGACAGAGUUACCUGAAACCUGUUGCUGUUGGGAGCUAAAAGGUGGAAUAAACCAACUCGACAAGGCUAAACUCUUUGUACAUGUUUGCUAAUAAAUAUGAAGUACACUCUUCCUUUGUGAAUAUUAUGCAACAUACGUUACUGUUCCACAUCCCGGAUCCGCCUCUAUGACUAUCCUAGUCUCAGUCGACAUAAUUACCUAGCACCUGUUGCUGGUGGGCUGACAGGUAUCACGUCCA
rnacentral:lncRNA from 1 species